rnacentral:rRNA from 1 species
UACAGAGGUUCCAAGCGUUGUUCGGAUUCAUUGGGCGUAAAGGGUGCGUAGGCGGCGCGGUAAGUCGGGUGUGAAAUCUCGGAGCUUAACUCCGAAACUGCAUUCGAUACUGCCGUGCUUGAGGACUGGAGAGGAGACUGGAAUUUACGGUGUAGCGGUGAAAUGCGUAGAUAUCGUAAGGAAGACCAGUGGCGAAGGCGGGUCUCUGGACAGUUCCAGACGCUGAGGCACGAAGGCCAGGGGAGCAAACGGG